rnacentral:misc_RNA from 1 species
AACGCACAUUGCGCCCUUUGGUAUUCCGAAGGGCAUGCCUGUUCGAGCGUCAUUGCAACCCCUCCAGCCGCUGGGCUGGGUGUUGGGCGUGUUGUGGGCUGCGGCCCACUCGCCUGAAAAGCAUCGGCGUCGGUGCGUCGGCCCUGCAGCGUAGCACAUUGUUCGCAGCAGAGAUCGACGGCGCAGCGGCCGCCUAAAACACCUUUGCAUCUGACACUUGACCUCGAAUCAGGUAGGGAUACCCGCUGAACUUAA